rnacentral:rRNA from 1 species
CCCGUUGUACACACCGCCCGUCACACCAUGGGAGUCAGUCGUACCGGAAGUCGGUGCUUUAACCCGCAAGGGGAAUAGCCGCCUAUGGUAUGGCUGGUAACUGGGGUG